CGUAGGUGGCAAGCGUUGUCCGGAUUUAUGGGUUUAAAGGGUGCGUAGGCGGUCUUGUAAGUCAGUGGUGAAAUACGGCAGCUUAACUGUCGAGGUGCCAUUGAUACUGCAGGACUUGAGUACAGACGAGGUAGGCGGAAUUGACGGUGUAGCGGUGAAAUGCUUAGAUAUCGACAAGAACACCGAUAGCGAAGGCAGCUUACUAGACUGUAACUGACGCUGAUGCACGAAAGUGUGGGGAUCAAACAGGAUUAGAUACCCUGGUAGUCCACACUGUAAACGAUGAUUACUCGAUGUUGGCGAUACACAGCCAGCGUCUUAGCGAAAGCGAUAAGUAAUCCACCUGGGGAGUACGCCGGCAACGGUG
rnacentral:rRNA from 1 species